rnacentral:rRNA from 1 species
ACAUUUCUAGCUUGCUAGAAGAUGACGAGUGGCGGACGGGUGAGUAAUGCUUGGGAACUUGCCUUUGCGAGGGGGAUAACAGUUGGAAACGACUGCUAAUACCGCAUAAUGUCUUCGGACCAAACGGGGCUUCGGCUCCGGCGCAAAGAGAGGCCCAAGUGAGAUUAGCUAGUUGGUAAGGUAACGGCUUACCAAGGCGACGAUCUCUAGCUGUUCUGAGAGGAAGAUCAGCCACACUGGGACUGAGACACGGCCCAGACUCCUACGGGAGGCAGCAGUGGGGAAUAUUGCACAAUGGGGGAAACCCUGAUGCAGCCAUGCCGCGUGUGUGAAGAAGGCCUUUGGGUUGUAAAGCACUUUCAGUUGUGAGGAAAAGUUAGUAGUUAAUACCUGCUAGCCGUGACGUUAACAACAGAAGAAGCACCGGCUAACUCCGUGCCAGCAGCCGCGGUAAUACGGAGGGUGCGAGCCGUAAUCGGAAUUACUGGGCGUAAAGCGCACGCA